rnacentral:rRNA from 1 species
GGUGGAUCAAAGCUCCGGCGGCAUAGGAUGGGCCUGCGGCGUAUCAGGUUGUAGGGGGUGUAACGUACCCUCUAGCCAUCAACGCGUACGGGUGUUGGGAGACAUAGCCCGGAGAUGGAUUCUGAGACACGAAUCCAGACCCUACGGGGUGCAGCAGGCGCGAAAACUUGGCAAUGCGAGAAAUCGUGACCAGGGAACUCCAAGUGGCUGGGGUAAGACCCAGUCUUUUCUUGACUCUUAAACGGUCUUGGAAUAAGGGGUGGGUAAGGACGGUGCCAGCCGCCGCGGUAAUACCGGCGCCUCAAGUGGUAGUCGAUUUUAUUGGGCCUAAAACGUCCGUAGCCUGUUUGGUACAUUCGUGGGUAAAUCAACCAGCUUAACUGAUUGAAUUCUGCGAGCACGGCCAGACUUGGGACCGGGAGAGGUGUGGGGUACGCUCAGGGUAGGGGUAAAAUCCUGUCAUCCUGAGCGGACCACCUGUUGCGAAGGCGCCACACUAGAACGGAUCCGACGGUCAGGGACGAAGCCUAGGGGCACGAACCGGAUUAGAUACCCGGGUAGUCCUAGGUGUAAACGCUGUGGACUUGGUGUUGGGGAUUCUCCGAGGAUCCUCAGUGCCGAAGCGAAGGUGAUAAGUCCACUGCCUGGGGAGUACGGUCGCAAGGCUGAAACUUAAAGGAAUUGGCGGGGGAGCACCGCAACCUGAGGAUUGUGCGGUUUAAUUGGACUCAACGCCGGGA